rnacentral:ncRNA from 1 species
AAAAAACGGCAAACCCGUCGAAAGGCGGGGACGCAAAGCUCAAGUGUCUUAACUUUUGCACCUGGCGGCUAAGGGUGCAAAGGCAUGAUUGACUGGCU